GAGUUUGAUCAUGGCUCAGGAUGAACGCUGGCGGCGUGCCUAAUACAUGCAAGUCGAGCGAACUGAUUAGAAGCUUGCUUCUAUGACGUUAGCGGCGGACGGGUGAGUAACACGUGGGCAACCUGCCUGUAAGACUGGGAUAACUUCGGGAAACCGAAGCUAAUACCGGAUAGGAUCUUCUCCUUCAUGGGAGAUGAUUGAAAGAUGGUUUCGGCUAUCACUUACAGAUGGGCCCGCGGUGCAUUAGCUAGUUGGUGAGGUAACGGCUCACCAAGGCAACGAUGCAUAGCCGACCUGAGAGGGUGAUCGGCCACACUGGGACUGAGACACGGCCCAGACUCCUACGGGAGGCAGCAGUAGGGAAUCUUCCGCAAUGGACGAAAGUCUGACGGAGCAACGCCGCGUGAGUGAUGAAGGCUUUCGGUUUGUAAAACUCUGUUGUUAGGGAAGAACAAGUACGAG
rnacentral:rRNA from 1 species